CCAUCCUUGAAUCCACUCACUUGCCCAGCCCCUGAACCAACUGAUGAAUGUGGUGAAGUCUUCCCUUCGUCACCCCAGGUGCAGCCACAGCCUCUGCAGCCACCCUGGGGGAGAGACAGCUCCAGGAGGACCUGCUAAGGUGAGGUGUUCUGGAAGGGUCUCUGCUCCUCUCUGAGAAGUAAAAUGUGUUUCUUUGGUGGAUGUGAAACCAACAAACCACUGUGGUGCCUCUCUACAUCUGAAGGAUGAGCCAGCCAAGCCAGGGGAACUGACGACCCCACACACGUCUGCACUGCUGUGGCCGUGUUGAACACGGACUCCUUCUUCAGGGCAGCCUUGGGCCAUCGGAGGGCUGCUGUAUGCAGUGACGGCCACCAAGUGUCCUUGGCCAGGGGAGUGAUUUACAGGGACUGAGAUCCUGACUUGUGACCCAGACACGAAUGCAUCCUUGUUCCAUUUUGUUAUUGCUCAACCGUCAUCUGGCCAUCCCCAAAGCCCACCUCUGUGAGAAAGGCCAGUGCUUGUCCUCGUGACACCCCUGAGACCUCGAUGGAGCAAGUCCCAGGGCCCAUCAUACAUUUUUAAAGAAAAUCUUCUUUUGGUGAGAAGAUCAAAGGGCCAGGCAGAAAUGGAAAAGCACUUUCUGGCAUCAGACUUCCUCUGACUUCUCCGGUUGCCACACCACUGAAAGACUGCCCCACAGUGCGAGGGACGUCCACAUCUGCCUGGCUCUCCG
rnacentral:lncRNA from 1 species